rnacentral:rRNA from 1 species
UACGGAGGAUGCGAGCGUUAUCCGGAUUUAUUGGGUUUAAAGGGUGCGCAGGCGGCACGGCAAGCCGGCGGUCAAAUCGCGGGGCUCAACCCCAUCCAGCCGUUGAAACUGAUGAUCUUGAGUGGGCGAGAAGUAUGCGGAAUGCGUGGUGUAGCGGUGAAAUGCAUAGAUAUCACGCAGAACUCCGAUUGCGAAGGCAGCAUACCGGCGCCCGACUGACGCUGAAGCACGAAAGCGUGGGUAUCGAACAGG